rnacentral:rRNA from 1 species
GACGAACGCUGGCGGCGUGCUUAACACAUGCCGGUCGAACGGAAAGGCCCUGCUUUUGUGGGGUGCUCGAGUGGCGAACGGGUGAGUAACACGUGAGUAACCUGCCCUUGACUUUGGGAUAACUUCAGGAAACUGGGGCUAAUACCGGAUAGGAGCUCCUGCUGCAUGGUGGGGGUUGGAAAGUUUCGGCGGUUGGGGAUGGACUCGCGGCUUAUCAGCUUGUUGGUGGGGUAGUGGCUUACCAAGGCUUUGACGGGUAGCCGGCCUGAGAGGGUGACCGGCCACAUUGGGACUGAGGUACCGCCCAGACUCCUACCGGAGGCAACAGUGGGGAAUAUUGCACAAUGGGCGGAAGCCUGAUGCAGCAACGCCGCGUGCGGGAUGACGGCCUUCGGGUUGUAAACCGCUUUCGCCUGUGACGAAGCGUGAGUGACGGUAAUGGGUUAAGAAGCACCGGCUAACUACGUG